GACCAGAUGGGAAUACAGAGGAGCACAGAGUGGACAAAUGGGAAAAUUUAUGCAUUGGCCACUGGGGGCAGUAUUUGUGAAGAGUGCUUGGACCCCGCAGACUGCCUCUCGCAGCUUUAUACUUGAAUACAGAGGAGCACAGAGCGGACAAACACAGGAAAACUAAUGCUAUUCUUGCUUCAGAUUUUCUGUUGCAUUUUUUGUGUCAUGUGCAUAUCACUGGGCAUUGAACAGGAAAUGCAAACAUGGGACAAAGAUAACCGUUUCAUUUCCAAUAAAAAAAAGAAGGACCUCAGUGAACAGGAACUUCACUUCAUUAUGAGAAUCCUAUCCAUUGGAUUGGUGGAUGCUGACCCUGACAUUCGGCACCACUUAAAAGAGUACAGAGAUAUUUACAUGACUUCAGUUUGAGAAUGACAUAUUCAUCCAUAAGACACGCUGCUGGGCUAACACAACAGUCAUGGCACUUCCUUUCUGUCUAGACAGAGAGCACUUCAAAACAAUAGUCCAAUACAUGAAUGACAUUUUGUGUUAUAUUAGAGGAGGCAGGAGAUUUCACAUACUGCAUCAUGUAAAUGGUACUAGAACUUAAAAAUGUGCACUCAGUAUCUCACUUUUAGCAAUGUAUUUUUUAGAAAACAGCACAAAUAAAAUAAAAUAUAAAGUCAUACAUACAAUUUGUUGAUUGAUGAACAUAAAAAUGCAAAGUAAGUGCAUGAAAAAUUCACACAAACACAUUACCUCUCUUUCAUUAGCUUUCUUAAUGAAUCAACUAAAUAGCAAAUACUAUAUUAAUAAACAACUAUAUUUAAUUUGAUUUCUAAUGUGUCCAAAAGCUCUUUAAUGGCUUAACUGAUGUGUUUUGUAUCAGUCAUAAGCAUGCAUGAUUUCCACUGUAUCAAAACUAUGCUUGUCUGGGAAUAUUGGGACAAUUGCCAUUUACUGUUUGUAAAGUGAUGCUUUAAAAUGAGUUAUUUGUAUUUCAUCAUAUUUUAAUACCCAUAAUUACACUGUUUUUCACCGAACCCAUAUUUAGCAUACCUGUGCACUCAGAUCAACAGGUCAUUGAUGAUAAGAAAAAGCUCCCCUUGAUUGGAGAUUACUUACUGUAUAUUUUUGAGUAUAUAAUGUUAAUGGAGGAAUUUUUUGGUAUGGCAUUUAGAUUACACCAGAUCUCUGAGAGCAGCUAUUAUUAUGUGUUAUUGGGUUUGAUUAUCUGAAACCUGUUAUUCCUGUUAUAUACGCUAACAGAGCUAUUGUACGUUUAAUGUAAUGUUGUAUGUUGUCUGUACGUAGUUUUACCUUUACCCAUAAUCUGUAACUGGAUUAGGCCAGGUUCAGCCAUUCAGCUUUCAGCAGGGAUUUCACACAACUAAUGUGUCUAUAGUCACAAAACUUGAUAAGUAUGUUUAUACGUGGUCUCUUUAUUGGUCUAUAUAACUUGGCUAGAACUGGCAACUGGGGGCUAUUUGUAAAGAGUGCUUGGACCAUGAAGAUCACCACUUGUGGCUAUAUUUCAAGCUUGGUUAAGCUUGGAUGAGCUUUCUGAUCUUGAAACUUGAAUAAAUCAUCCUUAUUUGAUGAUCUGUGGUAAAGAGCCACCUGUUUUUGUCAUCACUCAGGUUAUAUCCCUCACACAAUCCAUUUAUAAGAAACACCUUUUUGUUUGGCUAUGAAUUCUGGAAAGAUCUAGAAAAUUAAGAGCUAUGAACAGUCACAUUUUCCAAUAUAAAUCUCUUUAGCACGUUACUUGGAUCUCUCUGGCAAGCUCUUUCUAAGUGCUUUCAUCUCGAAAGGAAGAAAGUUGAUAUUAGCUGACCUCCAAAAAUUGUUGUAAUUUGCUAUACUAGCAAGAACAGUAACAUGAUCAUAAUAACACAGCCCUUGAUCUAGGAGGAUAUAUAACACUGAGGCUUUUGAGUUGAGUUUUAAAGAGUAAAAUUUAUUUUUCCCUGGUAAAAGUAGCAUGCCAUAUUAUAAAGUAGAAAUUGCCAUCAAUGUAAUAUUAAAAUAAUUGGUUCACCGUUGUUGGCUGUUACUCAUGGUUUGUACAUUAGGACCUCUAUAUACAUAAUAUACAGUGCUGUGAAAAAGUGUUUGCCUUUGCCUUAUUUCUCCUGUUUUUGUGUAUAGCUCAUACUAAAUUGUUUCAGAAAUUAAAACAAAAUCUAAGAUAAAGCAAAGGCAACCUGAAUAAACACAAAAUACAGUUUUUAAAUGAUAAUGUUAUCUAUUAAAGCAAAAAGAUAUCCAAUAACAACUGGGCCUGUGUGAAAAUGUAUUUGCCCUGUAGUUACUAAUGCCUCAAAUCUAUGAAACUGCAUUCAUAAUGGGGUUCAGCUGGACUAGAUGCAACCAGGCCUGAUUACUCCUGUUCAAAGCAACACUUAAAUAGAACUUUUUCAACAGCAUGAAGUUGGUUAAAAGGUCUUACUCAGUAACACACAUGCAAAAGUCAAAAGAAAUUCCAGAAUUGAUGAGGAGGAAUGUGAUUGAAAUACAUCAGUCUGGGAAGGGUUACAAAGUUAUUUCAAAGGCUUUGGGACUCCAAAGAACCACAGUGAGAGCCAUUAUCUCCAAAUGGAAAAACUUGGCACAGUAGCAAGCCUUCCCUUCCAAAAUUGCUCCAAGAGCACAGCAACUACUCAUCCAGCAAGUCACAAAAGAGCCAAGGACAACAUCAAAGGAACUACAGGUCUCUCUUGCAUCAAUAAAGGUCACUGUUCAUGACUCCACUAUCAGAAAGACACCGGGCAAAGGCACCAUGGAAGAGUGGUGAGCUGAAAACCAUUGGUAACCCAGAAGAACAGUAAAACUCGUCUGAAUUUUGCCAAAACACACCUUGAUGAUCCUCAAAACUUUGGGGAGAAUGUUCUGUGAAUUAAUGAGUCAAAAAUGGAACUGUUUGUAAGACAGGGGUCCUGUUAUAUCUGGUGGAAACCAAAAACAUAAUUCCACAAAAAGAACAUUAUAUCUACGGUCAAGC
ensembl:lncRNA